rnacentral:rRNA from 1 species
GUGGGGAAUUUUGGACAAUGGGCGCAAGCCUGAUCCAGCAAUGCCGCGUGCAGGAAGAAGGCCUUCGGGUUGUAAACUGCUUUUGUACGGAACGAAACGGUCCUGGUUAAUACCCGGGGCUAAUGACGGUACCGUAAGAAUAAGCACCGGCUAACUACGUGCCAGCAGCCGCGGUAAUACGUAGGGUGCAAGCGUUAAUCGGAAUUACUGGGCGUAAAGCGUGCGCAGGCGGUGCUGUAAGACAGGCGUGAAAUCCCCGGGCGUAACCUGGGAAUUGCGCUUGUGACUGCAAGGCUGGAGUGCGGCAGAGGGGGAUGGAAUUCCGCGUGUAGCAGUGAAAUGCGUAGAUAUGCGGAGGAACACCGAUGGCGAAGGCAAUCCCCUGGGCCUGCACUGACGCUCAUGCACGAAAGCGUGGGGAGCAAACAGGAUUAGAAACCCCAGUAGUCC